CCACUGUGAUCGGCAAAUAGACAUUCAUUUUGAAGGAAUGAAGAGUUCAUAAGUUUCUUCUUAGUAUGUCUAUUAUGUCAUGUUUGUCUCAAUGUAACAGGAAUUCCUACAAAGUGACUAGUUACUUAUUCCAGCAACCGCAAACAAAUUUAGUGGCAGUCUCUACAAGUCCAAGAUCCUGAACUUAUAAUUGGGAAAAGAAGAAGAAGAAGAAGAAGAAGAAGAGGGUGAGUGUGAGAAGGAUGGAAAAAAUGGAAAAGGAACGGUGGAGGAGACAGUGAAAGAUGAGAAGGUACAGGAAGUAAGGAAGAUUAUGGGUUGGAGGAUAGUGAAGAGGUGGAGAAGAUAAGAAAAUGUUGUUACUGUGUUUCGCGACAUUUACAUACUUUUACUGUUUCUGAAGUUCUACGUGCAAAGGGCUGCUUCAGCCUGUGACCAGGUUUCAGCGUGAUUCGUAGGAUAACUCAAUCAGUAAAUGUGACCGAUUGAAUGGAUUAUCGAUUACUGCAAGUAGCAGCGAAUUCUGUCUUCACCCCUCUACACGACCGAUUUCUUCUCGGGGGUAUAGCAGCCGGAGCGCGAAGCAAACAAAUCUCUCCCACACAAAUAGCCCGAAGAUAUGGACGUGUCAAUCAACAACAUCUUUUCUCGCGUGUGUUUAUGGAACGGCAGUAAGCGUAGCUCCGAUUACAAGUCCUUCUCUUGUUUCAACACCUGCAAGGUCCCCUUUAACCGGAGUUCUGAUAACUUGCAUGAACCUGGGGCACUUCUUUUCCGUUCUCUGAAUUACUGGUCAAGUUCCCACGAAUCUCUGAUAACAUUCUCUUAACUUUGCUUGCUUCAAGGGCGAAAAUAAAAAUACGACUUGAAGUGGAACUUAAAAGGACGUGGCGGUAGAGUGUUCGGAAAAGGACAGUUGAAAAGAGAGAAAGAGAAGCAAGUAUAGAAUCGAAUGAAUGACGUGAGACAGAACAGGAACGAAAACAGAAACAUUAAAUAGGAACAAAGAGUAACAACUACAUAUCUUCCUAUGAAGGCGAUAUUUCAGGUUCUCACGGUAUGAAGGUGACUGUUCUUCGAGGUUGCGCCCAAACGGAUUUUAAAUCCAACGAAGACAAACGAACUGUAAUUGACCGCGGCGGCCGGUCAUGUGCUCAGAUAAAUUUUAUCCCUACGUUCACAGGAACACUUUGCCAGGUUCGGUCCUACAUUUUUAAAGUUAUUUUUCAGCUAUGUUUCUGAUUAAAUUAAACAUUUUUAAAACUGAAACAAGGUAUUCUGUCUAGUGUAAUAUCACAUGUCAAAAUAAAUAAACCUUAAAGGGUUUAUACCUUUUGCCAACUCCCCAAAAAGUAACUAGUCGAACUUAGGUUAGGUUGCUUAUAGUCACCCUCGUAUGGAAUUUGAUAUUUCAAAAGGAAGUUGCUACUAACUGAAGAAUCUCGGCACAGAAAGCUUCAAAGACUGAAUAUAAACGACGAUGAACAUUUACCCUCACUUACAACUUUGUUUGUGAAAUAACGCCAUUUUCCUUUCAAAAUAUUAUGGUUGAAAGAUGUAGGUUCAAAGCGUCUUUCCGACCGGAGUUGGGGAUUUCAGACACUGCACAGUGACGUCUGAUAUAAAAGUGAUAAUAUGUUAUUCUGCCUGAAUAUAAUAGCAGACUGAUGAGUAGAGAAUAUAACAAGCUAGUUUGUUCUGUACAGUGCCACGGCCUUUUGUCUGGUACUCGGUCCUGCUGACUGAUGAAAUACAAUUGAACCCAAAUGAAA